rnacentral:rRNA from 1 species
UACGUAGGGUGCGGGCGUUAAUCGGAAUUACUGGGCGUAAAGGGUGCGUAGGUGGGUUGGUAAGUCAGUGGUGAAAUCCCCGAGCUUAACUUGGGAACUGCCAUUGAUACUAUCAGUCUUGAAUACCGUGGAGGUCGGCGGAAUAUGUCAUGUAGCGGUGAAAUGCUUAGAUAUGACAUAGAACACCAAUUGCGAAGGCAGCUGACUACGCGAGUAUUGACACUGAGGCACGAAAGCGUGGGGAUCAAACAGG